AUGAAUCCUUGUUCUUCUUCCUCCCCCUCUUUCUUCUCCUCUGUCAGGAAGCCGUACAAAGUCUCGUUUCCUCCUUCAGACAACACUGAUAGCGACACCCUCCUCCCUGGAGAGAUGGAGGGGAGGAGAGGUGAAAGGAGGAGGGGAGGAGAGGUGAGAAGAGGAGGAGGAGGGAAGGAAAGGAGAGAGGUGAGAAGAGGAGGAGGAGGGGAGGCAAGGAGAAAGGAGAGAAGAGGAGGAGGAGGGGAGGCAAGGAGAGAGGAGAGAAGAGGAGGAGGAGGGGAGGCAAGGAGAGAAGAGAGAAGAGAGGGGGAAAGGAGGAGGGGAGACGAGGAGAGAAGAGAAGAGGAGGAGGAGGGAGGCAAGAAGAGAAGAGAGAAGAGAGGGGAAAGGAGGAGGGGAGGCAAGAAGAGAGAAGAGAGGGGGAAAGGAGGAGGGGAGGCAAGGAGAGAGGAGGGAAGAGGAGGAGGAGGGGAGGCAAGGAGAGAGGAGAGAAGAGGAGGAGGAGGGGAGGCAAGGAGAGAGGAGAGAAGAGGAGGAGGGGGGGAGGCAAGGAGAGAGGAGAGAAGAGGAGGAGGAGGGGAGGCAAGGAGAGAAGAGAGAAGAGGAGGAGGAGGGGAGGCAAGGAGAGAAGAGAGAAGAGAGGGGGAAAGGAGGAGGGGAGGCAAGGAGAGAGGGGAGGGAAGAGGAGGAGGAGGGGAGGCAAGGAGAGAGGAGGGAAGAGGAGGAGGAGGGGAGGCAAGGAGAGAGGAGGGAAGAGGAGGAGGAGGGAGGCAAGGAGAGAGGAGGGAAGAGGAGAGGAGGGGAGGCAAGGAGAGAGGAGGGAAGAGGAGGAGGAGGGAGGGCAAGGAGAGAGGAGGGAAGAGGAGGAGGAGGGGAGGCAAGGAGAGAGGAGAGAAGAGAGGGGGGAAAGGAGGAGGGAGACGAGGAGAGAGGAGGAGGAGGGAAGGCAAGGAGAGAGGAGAGAAGAGGAGGAGGGGAGGCAAGGAGAGAGGAGAGAAGAGGAGGAGGGGAGGCAAGGAGAGAGGAGAGAAGAGGAGGAGGAGGGGAGGCAAGGAGAGAAGAGGAGGAGGAGGAGGGGAGACAAGGAGAGAGGAGAGAAGAGGAGGAGGGGAGGCAAGGAGAGAGGAGAGAAGAGGAGGAGGAGGGGAGGCAAGGAGAGAAGAGGAGGAGGGGUGGCAAGGAGAGAAGAGGAGAGAGGAGGAGGGAUGCAAGGAGAGAGGAGAGAAGGGGAGGAGGGGAUGCAAGGAGAGGGGAGGAGAGGAAAGGUGA
rnacentral:lncRNA from 1 species